GAUGAACGCUGACAGAAUGCUUAACACAUGCAAGUCUACUUGAACUUCGGUUUGGGUGGCGGACGGGUGAGUAACGCGUAAAGAACUUGCCUCACAGUUAGGGACAACAUUUGGAAACGAAUGCUAAUACCUGAUAUUAUGAUUUUAGGGCAUCCUAAGAUUAUGAAAGCUAUAUGCACUGUGAGAGAGCUUUGCGUCCCAUUAGCUAGUUGGAGAGGUAACGGCUCACCAAGGCGAUGAUGGGUAGCCGGCCUGAGAGGGUGAACGGCCACAAGGGGACUGAGACACGGCCCUUACUCCUACGGGAGGCAGCAGUGGGGAAUAUUGGACAAUGGACCAAAAGUCUGAUCCAGCAAUUCUGUGUGCACGAUGACGUUUUUCGGAAUGUAAAGUGCUUUCAGUUGGGAAGAAAAAAUGACGGUACCAACAGAAGAAGUGACGGCUAAAUACGUGCCAGCAGCCGCGGUAAUACGUAUGUCACAAGCGUUAUCCGGAUUUAUUGGGCGUAAAGCGCGUCUAGGUGGUUAUGUAAGUCUGAUGUGAAAAUGCAGGGCUCAACUCUGUAUUGCGUUGGAAACUGCAUGACUAGAGUACUGGAGAGGUAAGCGGAACUACAAGUGUAGAGGUGAAAUUCGUAGAUAUUUGUAGGAAUGCCGAUGGGGAAGCCAGCUUACUGGACAGAUACUGACGCUAAAGCGCGAAAGCGUGGGUAGCAAACAGG
rnacentral:rRNA from 1 species